AUUGAACGCUGGCGGCAGGCCUAACACAUGCAAGUAGAACGAGUGGCGGACGGGUGAGUAAUGUCUGGGAAACUGCCUGAUGGAGGGGGAUAACUACUGGAAACGGUAGCUAAUACCGCAUACCAUCAGAUGUGCCCAGAUGGGAUUAGCUUGUAGGUGGGGGAACGGCUCACCAAGGCGCCGAUCCCUAGCUGGUCUGAGAGGAUGACCAGCCACAAGGUAACUGAUACACGGUCCAGACUCCUACGGGAGGCAGCAUUGGGGAAUAUUGCACAAUGGGCGCUAGCCUGAUGCAGCCAUGCGGGGUGUAUGAAGACGGCCUCAGGGUGGUAAAGUACUUUCAGUGGGUAGGCGUUACCCGCAGAAGAAGCGCCGGCUAACUCCGUGCCAGCCGCCGCGGUAAUAC
rnacentral:rRNA from 1 species